UCGAGAAUCAUUCGCAAUGGGCGAAAGCCUGACGGUGCGACGCCGCGUGGAGGAUGAAGGCCCUAGGGUCGUAAACUCCUGUCAUCAGGGAGUAAUGGCUCAUAUAGUAACUGAUAUGGGUCUUGAUAGUACCUGAAGAGGAAGGGACGGCAAACUUCGUGCCAGCAGCCGCGGUAAUACGAAGGUCCCAAGCGUUGUUCGGAUUUACUGGGCGUAAAGAGUCUGUAGGCGGUGGGGUAAGUCAGAUGUGAAAUCCCGGGGCUCAACCCCGGAACUGCAUCCGAUACUGCCUUACUUGAGGGUCGGAGGGGAGUCUGGAAUUCUCGGCGUAGCAGUGAAAUGCGUAGAUAUCGGGAGGAACACCUGUGGCGAAGGCGGCCACCUGGUUGGAUACUGACGCUGAGACGCGAAAGCGUGGGGAGCAAACAGGAUUAGAUACCCAGGUAGUCCCUGAGCGGGCUGGCAAGGCGCAU
rnacentral:rRNA from 1 species